rnacentral:rRNA from 1 species
GGCUGAAAUUCGCCUUCAUGAAGCCGGAAUUGCUAGUAAUGGCAGGUCAGCAUACUGCCGUGAAUACGUUCCCGGGCCUUGUACACACCGCCCGUCACACCAUGAGAGUUGGGGAUACCCGAAGCCUGUGAGCUAACUUUAUAAGGAGCAGCAGUCGAAGGUAGAAUCAAUGAUUGGGGUGAAGUCGUAACAAGGUAUC